rnacentral:rRNA from 1 species
UGGGGAAUUUUGGACAAUGGGCGAAAGCCUGAUCCAGCAAUGCCGCGUGUGUGAAGAAGGCCUUCGGGUUGUAAAGCACUUUUGUCCGGAAAGAAAUCCUUGGCUCUAAUACAGUCGGGGGAUGACGGUACCGGAAGAAUAAGCACCGGCUAACUACGUGCCAGCAGCCGCGGUAAUACNUAGGGUGCAAGCGUUAAUCGGAAUUACUGGCGUAAAGCGUGCGCAGGCGGUUUGCUAAGACCGAUGUGAAAUCCCCGGGCUCAACCUGGGAACUGCAUUGGUGACUGGCAGGCUAGAGUAUGGCAGAGGGGGGUAGAAUUCCACGUGUAGCAGUGAAAUGCGUAGAGAUGUGGAGGAAUACCGAUGGCGAAGGCAGCCCCCUGGGCCAAUACUGACGCUCAUGCACGAAAGCGUGGGGAGCAAACAGGGUUAGAUACCCUGGUAGUCCACGCCCUAAACGAUGUCAACUAG